rnacentral:lncRNA from 1 species
UUUGAAAGCACCUUGUGGGCAGAGGGCACGGGCCUUGCUCAUUGCUGAAAUGUGCAUUUCCGUGCGGAGAAACAAAGGAGCUGGUUUUUACUCCCAAGCCCUUUGCUACUUAAAUAAAGUUAUUGGCUGCCUAAUG